rnacentral:rRNA from 1 species
AGCAGUCGCCGCGGUAAUACGGAGGGUGCAAGCGUUAAUCGGAAUUACUGGGCGUAAAGCGCACGCAGGCGGUCUGUCAAGUCAGAUGUGAAAUCCCCGGGCUUAACCUGGGAACUGCAUUUGAAACUGGCAGGCUAGAGUCUUGUAGAGGGGGGUAGAAUUCCGGGUGUAGCGGUGAAAUGCGUAGAGAUCUGGAGGAAUACCGGUGGCGAAGGCGGCCCCCUGGACAAAGACUGACGCUCAGGUGCGAAAGCGUGGGGAGCAAACAGGAUUAGAUACCCGCGUAGUCCCUGUCUCUUAUAC